UUUAAGACGGUUUUAAUAGUGUAGAGCAAUAUGCGAAAAAAUGAAGACUGUUAAUGUUGUUCCAAUUCGUGCACAUACAAGUAAAAGUACGACUUCUACCUGAGAUUAAGGUUAUGGAAUCUGAACUUCUACAGAAUUAAUACAUAAUUUAAUCUUCAAUUACGAAGAUAAAUUGUAACUCGUUCGCUUCGUUUAUAGACUCGGAGAAAGUCGAUGUUGACAGCAUAAUAACCAUUCUUUGAGUUGAUAUUUGAAGCUUUGGCAUUUUCAUGAAUUGAUUAUAAAAAAAAAUCUUCUCAAUAU